GACAUUGAAAUUCUCUACAAUAAAUGCAUGAAUACAACUUCUUUUUCAGACUUCGACGAGCUUGAUUCGAAGGCAAAUUCUUAUUAUAGAAUUGUUGAGCAAGAUUUAAAUCUUUUGAUGCAGGAAGAUUGUUUCCAAAAAUAUACAAUUACUGAAUCCCUCAUCACAGAAAAAAUGAAUUUAUUGAGUGAAGAAUGUUUUGAUAUAAUGAAGACCAUAACGUCUCUAACUGAUCAAAUGGGAGCCUUAAUAGACCCAAUAAAGGACAUUCAAUACAACAGAG